rnacentral:rRNA from 1 species
CCUCCGUUCUUCUGCCGUUCUUACUAUUUUUCCCUUUCCUUCCUUCUGCCCCCGCCCCGUCGCGUGAGGGACGACUGCCCUAUGGGUUGUAAAUCUCUUUUAUAAGGGAAGAAUAAAUGCUACGUGUAGCAUGAUGCCUGUACCUUCUGAAUAAGCAUCGGCUAACUCCGUGCCAGCAGCCGCGGUAAUACGGAGGAUGCGAGCGUUAUCCGGAUUUAUUGGGUUUAAAGGGUGCGUAGGCGGUUUUUUAAGUUAGUGGUUAAACGUCGGGGCUUCACCUUGAUUUGCCAUUAAUACUGUAAGACUCGAGUUCAGACGAGGUAGGCGGAAUAAGUUAAGUAGCGGUGAAAUGCUUAGAUAUAACUUAGAACUCCGAUAGCGAAGGCAGCUUACCAGACUGCGACUGACGCUGAAGCACGAGAGCGUGGGUAGCGAACAGGAUUAGAUACCCUAGUAGUC